rnacentral:rRNA from 1 species
AUUGAACGCUGGCGGCAGGCCUAACACAUGCAAGUCGAGCGAGCGGCGGACGGGUGAGUAAUGUAUGGGGACUGCCCGAUAGAGGGGGAUAACUACUGGAAACGGUGGCUAAUACCGCAUACUAUCGGAUAACCCAUAUUGGAUUAGCUAUUUGGUGAGGUAAUGGCUCACCAAGGCGACGAUCCCUAGCUGGUCUGAGAGGAUGAUCACACACACUGGGACUGAGACACGGCCCAGACUCCGCCGGGGGCACCAGUGGGGAAUAUGGCGCAAUGGUGGCAACCCGGACGCAGCCAUGCCGCGUGUAUGAAGAAGGCCUUAGGGUUGUAAAGUACUUUCAGCGGGGAGGCGUUACCCGCAGAAGAAGCACCGGCUAACUCCGUGCCAGCAGCCGCGGUAAUAC